rnacentral:rRNA from 1 species
CAGUCGCCGCGGUAAUACGAAGGGGGCUAGCGUUGUCCGGAUUUACUGGGCGUAAAGCGCACGUAGGCGGAUCGAUCAGUCAGGGGUGAAAUCCCAGAGCUCAACUCUGGAACUGCCUUUGAUACUGUCGAUCUGGAGUAUGGAAGAGGUGAGUGGAAUUCCGAGUGUAGAGGUGAAAUUCGUAGAUGUUCGGAGGAACACCAGCGGCGAAGGCGGCUCACUGGUCCAUUACUGACGCUGAGGUGCGAAAGCGUGGGGAGCAAACAGGAUUAGAUACCCGAGUAGUCCCUGUCUCUUAUAC